rnacentral:rRNA from 1 species
GACGAACGCUGGCGGCGUGCCUAAUACAUGCAAGUCGAACGCUGAAGAGAGGAGCUUGCUCUUCUUGGAUGAGUUGCGAACGGGUGAGUAACGCGUAGGUAACCUGCCUUGUAGCGGGGGAUAACUAUUGGAAACGAUAGCUAAUACCGCAUAACAAUGGAUGACACAUGUCAUUUAUUUGAAAGGGGCAAUUGCUCCACUACAAGAUGGACCUGCGUUGUAUUAGCUAGUAGGUGAGGUAACGGCUCACCUAGGCGACGAUACAUAGCCGACCUGAGAGGGUGAUCGGCCACACUGGGACUGAGACACGGCCCAGACGCCUACGGGAGGCAGCAGUAGGGAAUCUUCGGCAAUGGGGGCAACCCUGACCGAGCAACGCCGCGUGAGUGAAGAAGGUUGUCGGAUCGUAAAGCUCUGUUGCAAGUCAAGAACGAGUGUGAGAGUGGAAAGUUCACACUGUGACGGUAGCUUACCAGAAAGGGACGGCUAACUACGUG